UAUUAAGCGAUGAUUAGGAUUAGUAGAUUUUAUAUGGAUAUUAAGAGAGGAAGUGGAUGGUGCAAACUUCUUACUAUAUACUUCGAAGCUACCUAGGAGCUAUAAAUUACUAAGUGAUGUAUUGAUAUUUAUUAAUGCAUAAUUAGGGUGGUACCGCGGAAAUAAUAGCUUUCGUCCCUUUU
rnacentral:ncRNA from 1 species